UCUUUGAGGUUUGCGCUUUCCGUGGUUCUUUCUUGUGUUUUUCAUCGUUAACUUGGGUAGUGUUGUCAUAUCUGGCACUGGCCGUGGAGUUGGGGUUGAGUGUGUGUGCUGUGGAAGAAGUUGACCUUAUUGCGCGGCAGUUGCGUUUCAGAGCUUGGAGAAGUGACUUUGAAGUUUUGGGGUUUUUGCUUGGGGGCUGUCAGCGGAAAGAAUGUCUUUCCAGCAUAAAAGCUUUUGGAUACCUAG
rnacentral:misc_RNA from 1 species